CGGGGCGUAGCGCAGACCGGUAGCGCACCGCGUUCGGGACGCGGGGGUCGGAGGUUCAAAUCCUCUCGCCCCGACCA
rnacentral:tRNA from 7 species